rnacentral:ncRNA from 1 species
ACUCUUGCGGAGCCUUUGCAGCUGGCAACAGUAGCUGAGCGACUCUAAAGAAAAUCGGCCUCAUGCAAGUCAGCGUCAGCUGGCAACACUUUCGAAUUGCGGGGAACCCCUAAUAGCCUUUUACACCAAACCAGUCAGGGAAACCUGCUGGCGGCCCGUGGGAAACCACGGGGUAUGGUAACAGUUGAAAGGAUGAGCGGCCGUUGCGAAGCGGCUGUGAAAUGGGCAAUCCGCAGCGAAGCCCCUGGUGUUGAUGGUGGCUAUUCUGCGUUACUGCAGAACAGGCUGCCAAACAUGGGGAACGUUCACAGACUAAGUGGAAGUGGGUGGAGCCGUUACCGGCUCUGCUUAAGAUAUAGUCGGGCCCCUUUGGAAACUCUGGGGAGGGAUACCUUCCCCUUACACUGGUACUGUGAGGAGGCGGUGUCCUUUGCAACAACUGUUCCGUAGGUGAACCUGCGGAAGGAUCAUUA